rnacentral:lncRNA from 1 species
UUACCCUCAAAAAUAGGAAUUUUGCCUGAAAUAAAUGGGAAUUUUUCCCCUUAAAAACUGAGAAUUUUCCCUCCCUCCCCUGCCCCCAGAAGUGCCUGCGCUUCGACCCCGGCGCGGCCGUGUGGGCGGCCAAGCAGCAGCUGCUGUGCGCGCUGACCGAGGGGCUCCACGACGGCCUCAACUACGGCCUGUUCCAGCCCCGCCGCCGGCCGCGACGCCAAGUUCCUGGACGAGGAGCGCCCGCUGCGUGACUACCCCCAGAGCUUCGACCAGGGCGUGCCCUACCUCGAGUUCCGGUACAAGACCCGGGUGUACAAACAAACGAACCUGGACGAGAAACAACUGGCCAAGCUCCACACCAAGACGGGGCUGCGGAAGUUUCUGGAUUACGUCCAGCACGGCUCGGCCGAGAAGGUGGCGCGGCUGCUGGAGCGGGGGCUGGACCCCAACUACCACGACUCGGACUCGGGGGGUGAGAGCCAAAAACGCCCAAAAUCACCCCAAAAAUCACCCCAAAAAAUCCCCAACUACCACGACUCGGACUCGGGGGGUGAGAGCCAAAAACGCCCAAAAU